rnacentral:rRNA from 1 species
UACAGAGGUCUCAAGCGUUGUUCGGAUUCAUUGGGCGUAAAGGGUGUGUAGGUGGCGCCGUAAGUCGGGUGUGAAAUUUCGGAGCUUAACUCCGAAACUGCAUUCGAUACUGCGGUGCUUGAGUACUGGAGAGGAGACUGGAAUUCAUGGUGUAGCAGUGAAAUGCGUAGAUAUCGUGAGGAAGACCAGUGGCGAAGGCGGAUCUCUGGACAGUUCCUGACGCUGAGGCGCGAAGGCCAGGGGAGCAAACGGG